AUUGAACGCUGGCGGCAGGCCUAACACAUGCAAGUCGAGCGGAUGAAGGGAGCUUGCUCCUGGAUUCAGCGGCGGACGGGUGAGUAAUGCCUAGGAAUCUGCUUGGUAGUGGGGGAUAACGUCCGGAAACGGGCGCUAAUUCCGCAUACGUCCUGAGGGAGAAAGUGGGGGAUCUUCGGACCUCACGCUAUCAGAUGAGCCUAGGUCGGAUUAGCUAGUUGGUGGGGUAAAGGCCUACCAAGGCGACGAUCCGUAACUGGUCUGAGAGGAUGAUCAGUCACACUGGAACUGAGACACGGUCCAGACUCCUACGGGAGGCAGCAGUGGGGAAUAUUGGACAAUGGGCGAAAGCCUGAUCCAGCCAUGCCGCGUGUGUGAAGAAGGUCUUCGGAUUGUAAAGCACUUUAAGUUGGGAGGAAGGGCAGUAAGUUAAUACCUUGCUGUUUUGACGUUACCAACAGAAUAAGCACCGGCUAACUUCGUG
rnacentral:rRNA from 1 species